rnacentral:rRNA from 1 species
UGGGGAAUUUUGGACAAUGGGCGAAAGCCUGAUCCAGCAAUGCCGCGUGUGUGAAGAAGGCCUUCGGGUUGUAAAGCACUUUUGUCCGGAAAGAAAUCCUUGGCUCUAAUACAGUCGGGGGAUGACGGUACCGGAAGAAUAAGCACCGGCUAACUACGUGCCAGCAGCCGCGGUAAUACGUAGGGUGCAAGCGUUAAUCGGAAUUACUGGGCGUAAAGCGUGCGCAGGCGGUUUGCUAAGACCGAUGUGAAAUCCCCGGGCUCAACCUGGGAACUGCAUUGGUGACUGGCAGGCUAGAGUAUGGCAGAGGGGGGUAGAAUUCCACGUGUAGCAGUGAAAUGCGUAGAGAUGUGGAGGAAUACCGAUGGCGAAGGCAGCCCCCUGGGCCAAUACUGACGCUCAUGCACGAAAGCGUGGGGAGCAAAGCAGGAUUAGAUACCCCUGGUAGUCCACGCCCUAAACGAUGUCAACUAGUUGUUGGGGAUUCAUUUCCUUAGUAACGUAGCUAACGCGUGAAGUUGACCGCCUGGGGAGU